UUUUGCUCUCUCCUCUCUCUCUCUCCGUCUCUCUCAUUUCUCUUUUCCGGUCUCUCAUCUUUCCUUCUCUUUUACUUUCCUUAUAUCUCUCGUUCAUCUCUGCUUUCCCAGAUUCAGUCCAACCACCCUUUCUAUCUCUACCUUCCGCAGAUCCAGUCUAUCUCUCUCCAUUUCCCGAUCUUCUCUCAUCUCUGCGUCCCUCAGAAUCUCCUUCUCUCACCUCUCUCUCUCUCUCUCUCUCAACUCUGCCUCCUUUAUACUCCAUUGCUAGACGUUGGCAGUCAGAUCGCAACCACCGCAUCCGCUCAACAACCACCGCAUCACCGACUCCUCUCACCCCUAUCAGAUCUGGGUUUUUUGUUUAUUUUUUCGUUGAUUUGUGCAAUUUUUUAACAAUUUAUUUUUGUAGGCGGGUUUCUGUGAGCUCGUGUGCCCCACAAUGGAAGUCCGAGUCGGUUUUCUGAAAUAGGUUAGUCAUCUUAACGAUUCUGGACCGAGUUGAUAAGGUCUUUGCUAGCUGCCAUUUCAGUGUCGUCAACGAGAACAAGCUCUAUAACCAUACUUUGGACUCUCUCAUCCCUUUCUUCCCUCACGGCGUCAAAAACGAAGAUGGGAAGCUCAACGUCACCUCAGUUAAUGAUUUUUGUUUGAAAUUCUUUUUAUUGUCGCCCAUAAAUUCAUAAGUUUGAUGGAACUCUGCUUGUGGGAAUGAUGAAUUUAUUUGUGGAAUAACAAAGAUGGGAUGAACAAAGCUUUCUGGGGAAGAUGCUGUUGUCCAGAACUGAUUGUUUUCGAGUGUUAUCUUAAUUAGGGCUAAAAUAUGUAAAAUGUUUGUUUUUAGUUUGUAUGGUUUUUCGAUUUUUUAUAUUUUUUUAAAUUUAAUUGAUGGAGCAUAAUUACAAACUUA